rnacentral:rRNA from 1 species
UACGUAGGCAGCGAGCGUUGUUCGGAGUUACUGGGCGUAAAGCGUGCGUAGGCGGUGUCUUAAGUUUGUUGUGAAAUCUCCCGGCUUAACCGGGAGGGUGCGGCGAAUACUGAGAUGCUGGAGUGCGGGAGAGGUAAGCGGAAUUCCUGGUGUAGCGGUGAAAUGCGUAGAUAUCAGGAGGAACACCUGCGGUGUAGACGGCUUACUGGUCCGGUACUGACGCUGAGGUGCGAAAGCGUGGGGAGCAAACAGG